rnacentral:rRNA from 1 species
AGUGAACGCUGGCGGUAGGCCUAACACAUGCAAGUCGAACGGCAGCACAGUAAGAGCUUGCUCUUACGGGUGGCGAGUGGCGGACGGGUGAGGAAUACAUCGGAAUCUACUUUUUCGUGGGGGAUAACGUAGGGAAACUUACGCUAAUACCGCAUAUGACCUACGGGUGAAAGCAGGGGAUCUUCGGACCUUGCGCGAUUGAAUGAGCCGAUGUCGGAUUAGCUAGUUGGCGGGGUAAAGGCCCACCAAGGCGACGAUCCGUAGCUGGUCUGAGAGGAUGAUCGGCCACACUGGAACUGAGACACGGUUCAGACUCCUACGGGAGGCAGCAGUAGGGAAUAUUGGGCAAUGGGCGCAAGCCUGAUCCAGCCAUACCGCGUGGGUGAAGAAGGCCUUCGGGUUGUAAAGCCCUUUUUUUGGGAAAGAAGAGCAGCAGGUUAAUACGCCGCUGUUCUGACGGUACCCAAUGAAUAAGCACCGGCUAACUUCGUG